UACGAAGGGGCUAGCGUUGCUCGGAAUUACUGGGCGUAAAGCGCACGUAGGCGGCUUUCUAAGUCGGGGGUGAAAUCCUGGAGCUCAACUCCAGAACUGCCUUUGAUACUGAAGAUCUUGAGUUCGGGAGAGGUGAGUGGAACUGCGAGUGUAGAGGUGAAAUUCGUAGAUAUUCGCAAGAACACCAGUGGCGAAGGCGGCUCACUGGCCCGAUACUGACGCUGAGGCACGAAAGCGUGGG
rnacentral:rRNA from 1 species